rnacentral:lncRNA from 1 species
AUGCACAGGCUUUACUGGAUAAUGCUGAUCAGGCAAGACGCAGAAGGGAGUCAGUUCAGCAAACAUUUGCUGGCCCUACCAAAUGUGGCCAUAGGGCUGCUCAUUCUUUUCAGCCCCCACACUUUCCUCGUUCAGAAACUUGGGGGUAUGACAGAAGACGAUCUAGGGGUUACCAGCCCCAUGAUCGAGGAACCAGACCUUUUUAUCAGGCUCCCCAGACCGACCAGGCCCAUAAUCCAGUCAGGGGAGGACCACUUAAGAGGCGUCCUUCCAGGGGUUUCAAACCCCGGGGAGGCCAGGCAUAGCGGUCUCUGUGUCGUCGGAGAAUGCUCCCAACUGUGCCUGGACAGUUGGGAGAAGGUAACAUCAGAUCCCUGGGUCCUAGAUACCAUCAAGACAGGAUACAGGAUACAGUUCCGGCGGCGCCCUCCUACUUUUUCAGGCGAUCAUAUGACCGUAGUCAGAGACCCAGUCCAGGCACAAAUUUUGGCCAAAGAGAUCACAGUUUUACUUCAGAAAAAGGUGAUUGUACAGAUAGACACCAGCAAACAGCUCACUGGGUUCUAUUCAAAGUAUUUCCUGGUGCCAAAGAGAGACGGGGGACUUCGACCCAUUCUAGACUUACGAAAGUUGAACGAAUUCAUAAAGGUAUUGCCCUUCAAAAUGCUGACUACAGCACAAAUUCUGGAAUCCAUAGAACUGGGAGAAUGGUUCACUUCCAUAGACUUGAAGGAUGCCUAUUUCCACAUACCCAUCUGUCAGGAUCACUGCCCGUUUCUUCGCUUUGCCUUUCAAGAUCGGGUUUAUCAGUUCAGGGUCCUUCCAUUUGGCCUGUCUCUGUCUCCAAGGGUCUUCACCAGGGUGGUGUCAGCAGCCCUUCGUCCCCUUCAGUGUGCAGGUUUGAAGAUUCUGUCAUACCUGGACGACUGGCUAAUUUGUGCUCCUUCACGCAGUCAAGCCAUGAGGGACACCGAAGUGGUGCUCCAACAUGUCCAGUCUCUUGGGUUCAAAGUGAACUGGGAAAAGAGCAAUCUAAGUCCCAGACAACAGACCGUGUUUGUAGGAGUUUCGCUAGAUUCCCAACUGAUGACGGCAACUUUAUCACCCCAGAGAGUGGUACAGUUGAUCAGUCUAACUCAAUCAUUCCAUCUGAACAAGAAGGUGAAGUUAAUUCCGUUUCAGCGAUUGUUGGGCAUGAUUGCAGCAGCAGCAGCUGUGGUCCCACUCGGCCUUCUCAAAGCCCGUCCACUACAACGUUGGUUGAACAGCUUUCACUUGCAUCCCAAAUUACACAGACAUGUAAGGAUAAAGGUUACACGAAGGUGUGUCCAAAUGUUACACCCUUGGAAGUUGUUACCGUCACAAGGGGUUCCUCUAGGCAACAUCCCAGCGAGGCGGUCUGUGAUAACGACAGAUGCCUCUCUAACAGGGUGGGGAGCAGUUUGGGAAGGCAGGUCCAUCAGGGGACACUGGAAAUUCCCCUGGACCACAGAGCACAUCAACGUGCUGGAACUCAGGGCAGUCCAUCUCUCCCUGAGGGUUUUUCUCCCGUUGUUACAGAACAAACAUGUUUUAGUGAGAACAGACAACAUGUCGGCAGUGUACCACAUCAAUCACCAGGGUGGCACCAGAUCAGCGCGGUGUCUCCAGGUGACACAGGAACUACUUUGGGCAUUUCCAAAGCUCUCAUCACUCAGAGCAGUAUACAUACCGGGAGUGGCGAACAGAGCGGCAGACCUGCUGUCACGAACUGGACCACUCCCGGGAGAGUGGCGCCUCCAUCCCGAAGUGGUGAGAUUGAUAUGGAGGCGUUUCGGUAUGGCGAAGGUCGAUUUGUUUGCGACCACGGAGACAACUCAUUGCGAUCUAUGGUAUUCCCUGAACAGCCAGGGAGGCCCUUUAGGGAUCGAUGCACUAUCUCAAGAAUGGCCGGAAGAAUUGUUGUACGCUUUUCCACCCCUACCCUUGAUCCACCUUGUGAUCAACAGGGUAGCUUUGGGCCGUCACAAGAUUUUACUUGUGGCCCCACGUUGGCCAAAUAAACUUUGGUUUCCGACCCUUGUACGUUUGGUCCAAGGUUACCCUUGGCAGUUACCACAGAGAGCAGAUCUCCUCUCUCAAGUGGAAGGCCAAAUCUGGCACCCCAGUCCAGAGACACUUCAACUAUGGGUAUGGCCCUUGCUCAGUCCCUCUCUGAAGGCUUAG